rnacentral:rRNA from 1 species
AGUGAACGCUGGCGGCGUGCUUAACACAUGCAAGUCGAACGAGAACGGGUUAUAGCUUGCUAUAAUUGUCAGCUAAGUGGCGCACGGGUGAGUAAUGUAUAGGUAAUAUGCCUCUUACUAAGGGAUAACAAUUGGAAACGAUUGCUAAUACCUUAUACUCCUUAUUAACUAAAGUUAGUAAGGGAAAGAUUUAUUGGUAAGAGAUUAGCCUGUAUUGUAUCAGUUAGUUGGUGGGGUAAUGGCUUACCAAGACUAUGACACAUAACUGGUUUGAGAGGAUGAUCAGUCACACUGGAACUGAGACACGGUCCAGACUCCUACGGGAGGCAGCAGUGGGGAAUAUUGCACAAUGGACGAAAGUCUGAUGCAGCAACGCCGCGUGGAGGAUGACACAUUUCGGUGCGUAAACUCCUUUUAUAUGAGAAGAUAAUGACGGUAUUAUAUGAAUAAGCACCGGCUAACUCCGUGCCAGCCGCCGCGGUAA